CUUAAAUAGAAACACACAAGUAUCUGUUUGUAGGAACUUCUGCAGAGUCCUGGUUCCAGAACAUGAUGAUAGAAUUAUAGACAAACUUUAACAAAAGCUGCCUGAGAGUUUACAGGUUUUUAUGUUAGAUUUCUUCAGUAAUUUAAUGAGCGUUAUCAGCAAAAAUCAAGUGAUCAUUUGAUGAACUUCAUUUCCUAAAACAUCCAGAAUUGGAGCUCAUAUCUUUGGCAGCUGUAAAGUUUCUGCUCCUUCAAAGUUCACAACACAAUGAAUGAAUUCCUAAAACACUCUCAGUGCUGGAGAGCGUUUGAUGCUGAAGCAGUGACCAGUUUUUCUGUGUCUUCUCUGGAGAUGCACAAUGAGGGACGUCUGCAGCGACUGAGAAAGAGUCUCACCACAUCCUGACAUGAGGAAAAAGACUUUAUUGAAGACUACAAUGAGAAAAACUAUCAGACAGCAGACGGCUGCAUUCAAGUCUGUAGCUGCUGAAUUCAUGGAUGAAUCAUCUGGCACUAGAGAGGAAGACCAUCAAACAUCCACGUCAGUUGAUGGAGGUCCAAGAGUCUCACCCAACAAACAACCUACAGAGUGAAGACCUCGAAUCUGAUUGGACGGCCUCUUAUUCAGCCACAUGCUGUUAGAUUGUUCCAGAUAAGACAAGUACAAGAUUCUUCAGAGCUGUUCUACCACGAGCCUGACAGGAAGAACUCCAACAGCUACUGAAUGUUCCUGUGGUUCCCUCAAGGCUACAGGAGGAGCCCUACGAGGACGAGCCGGUCCACCUGAUGGUGGCCAGUCGCUGCGGUUCAAAGCCAACACCGACUACAUGGACUUCUACUGGACCACACGGAGGCCUUCAAACCGGACCAACAAGUUCAGCGACU
ensembl:lncRNA